AAUACACAAAAAGGGCCAAACAAAUGGUUUCAUAGGCCCUUAAUUUGAACAUUGAGUGUAGGCAUGCGCACUACUCGUUUCAGCUUCUCUUUCUUGGCAGCUGUCCACGAGGAAAGAUGCACCUCGCGGCAAGUUCAAGAUCUAGUGCACGGACAAACAUCCAUUAUGGCGGAUUCAUGAGGACUGUACACUUGCCCUCAUAUAAAGGGAAUCUUACACCCCCAGUAACGCAAGUCGACCAGUCCAACACCAGAUGUCGGCCGGUGUAACAUUGGUUCAAGAUCUAGUGCAGGCGUGACACUUUCUCAGACAAACAUCCGUCAUGGCUCAUGUCACUCAGAUCCAGAACUGGAAAGUAAUAAUAAAGCCUGAUCCGAGAAAUUAAUGCUACCGGACAGAACCAUCUCCAAGGUCACAAAUUCCACUGUACUGGAUCAUUUCAAUAAAAGCUGCGAACAGA